CCUACGGGAGGCAGCAGUGAGGAAUAUUGGUCAAUGGGCGCGAGCCUGAACCAGCCAAGUAGCGUGAAGGAUGACUGCCCUACGGGUUGUAAACUUCUUUUAUAAAGGAAUAAAGUGAGGCAGGUGUGCAUUUUUGUAUGGAGGUUAUGAAUAAGGAUCGGCUAACGCCGUGCCAGCAGCCGCGGUAAUACGGAGGAUCCGAGCGUUAUCCGGAUUGAGUGGGUGUAAAGGGAGCGUAGAUGGGUUGUUAAGUCAGUUGGGAAAGUUUGCGGCUCAACCGUAAAAUUGCAAUUGAUACUGGCAGUCUUGAGUACUGUUGAGGUAGGCGGAAUUCGUGGUGUAGCGGUGAACUGCUU
rnacentral:rRNA from 1 species